AUGAAGUAUGGCCGCUCUCCAUCUCAGUCCCUGGAAGUUGUCCAGAGUCGCCUGAGAAUCCCUGCUCUGGGGGCGGAAUCACCGGGACUCAUCCUGGCCAGCUCCCCACAGUCUGUAGCAGGACUUUCCUGCCAGGUGCAGGGCACAGGAAUGGUUCUCCCUGUCUCUUGGAGGCAGCGCCAAGAAGAGGCCUUUGCCGCUGGUAGGGAUUGGGAAGUAGAAGAACACAGUGUCGUCGGCCGGUUCCGGAAGGUGGACGUGGAUGAAUAUGACGAGAACAAGCUCGUGGACGAAGAAGAUGGGGGCGACGGCCAGGCCAGCCCGAUGAGGGCGAGGUGGGCUCAUGCCUGCGGCAAGGAAACAUGACAGCUGCCCUACAGGCAGCUCUGAAGAACCUCCCCAUCAACACCAAGAGUCAGGCAGUGAAGGACCGGGCAGGCAGCAUUGUGUUGAAGGUGCUCAUCUCUUUUAAAGCUAAUGAUAUUGAAAAGGCAGUUCAAUCUCUGGACAAGAAUGGUGUGGAUCUCCUAAUGAAGUGUAUUUAUAAAGGAUUUGGGAGCCCCUCUGACAAUAGCAGUGCUGUGUUACUGCAAUGGCAUGAAAAGUCACUUGCUGCUGGAGGAGUAGGGUCCAUUGUUCGUGUCUUGACUGCAAGAAAAACCGUGUAGUCUGGCAGGAAGUGGAAAUCUGCCUCGGGAGUGGGAAUUGUUGGUACAAAGACCAAAACAACCAAAUGCCACCGCUGCCCUGUGGGUAGCAUCUGUUUCUCUCAACUUUGCCUUCUUGCUUUUUCAUAUCUGUAAAGAAGAAACUUACAUAUCACUUUUCCUUUAAUGAAAAUUGGGAUAAUAUAGAAGAAAUUGUGUUAAAAUAUAAAUGUUUCAUCCUUUCAAAAUCAUUUCAGUGAUGUUUAUACCAGUCUGUAUAUAGUAUAAUUAACAUUCAAGUUUAAUUGUGCAAUUUUUAACCCCUAUUGGCUGGUUUUUUGUUUUGUUUUGUGUUAUUUUUACCUAAUACUGAGAGAUUUGGUCAGAAUUUGAGGCCAGUUUCCUAGUUCAUUGCUAGUCGGGAAAUGAUAUUUAUAAAAACUAUGAGAGACUGGCAGCUAUUAACAUUGCAAAACUGGACCAUAUUUCCCUUAUUUAAGCAAAAUAUGUUUCUGGAGUAAGUGGUGGGUGCAUACCGCUACCGAGUUCUAGCUUUGUUUUUGCUUGCCUCCUGAUCAUCUGUACUGUGGGUUUAAGUGUGCUACUUUCUCUCAGCAUCCAAUAAUCAUGGCCUCUCAAUUUAUUUGUGGUCACCCAGGGUUCAGAGCAAGAAGUCUUGCUCUAUACAAAUGUAUCCAUAAAAUAUCAGAGCUUGUUGGGCCUGAACAUCAAACUUUUGUUCCAAUAAUAUGGCUCUGUUUGGAAAAAACUGCAAAUCAGAAAGAGUGAUUUGCAGAAAGAAAGAAAAACUAUGGUGUAAUUCAAACUCUGGGCAGCCUCUGAAUGAAAUGCUACUUUCUUUAGAAAUAUAAUAGCUGCCUUAGACAUGAUGAGGUAUACAACUAGCAUUUAAGAUACUAUUUAAUAUGCCCUAUAAAUGUCUUCAGUGUUCUUCAGGGUAAUUAGGAUCUCAGAAGACUUGGUUCAGAUCCGAACAAAUACACAUUCUUUGUUUUAGCUCAGUGUUUUUUUAAAAAAGAAACUGCCACACAGCAAACAAUUGUUUACUUUAUUGGACAAACCAAAUCAGUUCUCAAAAAAUGACCGGUGCUUAUAAAAUGUUAUAAAUAUCCAGUAGUUCCAAAACAAACCACCUGACCAAGAGGGAAGUCAGCUUGUGAUUAGUAUUUACAUUGGACACCAGUUUUGUAAUCACUGACUUAUGUGCAAACUGGUGCAGAAAUUCUAUAAACUCAUUGCUGAUUUUGA